rnacentral:rRNA from 1 species
UACAGAGGCCUCGAGCGUUGUUCGGAAUUACUGGGCGUAAAGGGCAUGUAGGUGGUGGCGUAAGUCAGAUGUGAAAGCCCCGGGCUUAACCUGGGAAGUGCAUUUGAUACUGCGUUGCUUGAGUGCGAGAGAGGAAAGGGGAAUUCCCAGUGUAGGAGUGAAAUCCGUAGAUAUUGGGAGGAACACCGGUGGCGAAGGCGGCGACCUGGGCCAAUACUGACACUGAGGUGCGAAAGCGUGGGGAGCAAACAGG